rnacentral:rRNA from 1 species
GAUGAACGCUGGCGGCGUGCUUAAUACAUGCAAGUCGAGCGAAGCACUUUAACGGAAUUCUUCGGAAGGAAGGUAAAGUGACUGAGCGGCGACGGGUGAGUAACGCGUGGGUAACCUGCCCUAGACAGGGGGAUAACUAUUGGAAACAGGUGCUAAUACCGGAUAAUAAAGCAGAUCGCAUGAUCAGCUUUUGAAAGGCGGCGUAAGCUGUCGCUAAGGGAUGGCCCCGCGGUGCAUUAGCUAGUUGGUAAGGUAACGGCUUACCAAGGCGACGAUGCAUAGCCGAGUUGAGAGACUGAUCGGCCACAUUGGGACUGAGACACGGCCCAA